GAACCUGUUAUAGCUUGUAAGGAUGUUGGUCUUUGUCUUGAUGAUGUCGAAAGUUGAUAUUUCCUUAGCUGCCCUUUAUUGAGGCUUUCAGCAACUAACCAUUCCUCUCUAGCCUUGAUUGAGUGUUGUUGAGCAGAAUAAUGGUUACCUCUUAUAAAGAUAUUAGUGGCAGCCUUCGAAUGUUGAGACGCUGACCUCAUCAUCCUUAAUGCAUCUGUUCGUAUCCUCAAGUAAACAUCAUCCUCUUCCCACUUAGGUUAGAUGGGUACAGACUCCAAAAUCCCAGUAGUUAGUUUCAUGUCUCCAGCAAGCUUGGGUCUAUAUAAAUCAUUAUCCAUUACAGCCAUAAUAUCCUCCACCAAACUAUAGUCAGCCUAGGAGCAACUUGACCCUCUUCAUGGAAUAUCUCUUGUAGCAUUUCCAUCUAAUAAGGAUCUUUUACCAUCCCUAUUCUCUGUCAUGAUAGUCUUUAAUGCUAAUGGCUGGGAGGAUGGCUCAAUUUGUUUUGCUUGGUCAGUUGCUCCAUGAACAUCUAUCGUAUUGCAACUUUCUGCUCUAUUUUCCUUGUGCAGUUUCAGUAUCUAUUCAUCCUUGAGAACUUUCUCCCUCUAUUUU
rnacentral:lncRNA from 1 species